rnacentral:rRNA from 1 species
AACGAACGCUGGCGGCAUGCCUAACACAUGCAAGUCGAACGAGACCUUCGGGUCUAGUGGCGCACGGGUGCGUAACGCGUGGGAACCUGCCCUUAGGUUCGGAAUAACUCCCCGAAAGGGGUGCUAAUACCGGAUAAUGUCUUCGGACCAAAGAUUUAUCGCCUUUGGAUGGGCCCGCGUUGGAUUAGCUAGUUGGUAGGGUAAAAGCCUACCAAGGCGACGAUCCAUAGCUGGUCUGAGAGGAUGAUCAGCCACACUGGGACUGAGACACGGCCCAGACUCCUACGGGAGGCGGCAGUGGGGAAUAUUGGACAAGGGGGGAAAGCCUGACCCAGCAAGGCCGCGUGAGGGAUGAAGGCCGUGGGGUUUAAAAGCUUUUUACCCGGGAUGAUAAUGACAGUCCCGGGAGAAUAAGCUCCGGCUAACUCCGG